rnacentral:rRNA from 1 species
UACGUAGGGUGCGAGCGUUGUCCGGAAUUAUUGGGCGUAAAGGGCUCGUAGGCGGUUUGUCGCGUCGGGCGUGAAAGCCCAGGGCUUAACUCUGGGCCUGCUUUCGAUACGGGCAGACUAGAGGUAUGCAGGGGAGAACGGAAUUCCUGGUGUAGCGGUGAAAUGCGCAGAUAUCAGGAGGAACACCGGUGGCGAAGGCGGUUCUCUGGGCAGUACCUGACGCUGAGGAGCGAAAGUGUGGGGAGCAAACAGG